ACUGCUAAGGAGGAUGGAAUUGAGGUUGGAGCAGAGUAGAAGCACCAUGGCCAGGCUCAGGGAGUGGAACUAGAUGGCACUUUGCAGCUGAUAAACUCCAUGGCAUCUGUCAACCAGGAGAGAUAGGAGAAGAUGUCUUGCUGCUGAACCAACAAAUAUGAAAAAAUAACUCUCCUCAGAUAAACUUAACUUCAUUACUGUUAACCACCUCCAAGGUAUGACUACCCCUCAAAAAGCAAGUGCUUCAUAUUUUAUUGACUGUAUCUUAAAGAGCAAACUGAGAGAAUUUUACAUCAACCAGCAACAAAGAAAUCUGGGCAGUAAACUUUGCUCAUUUAUAUUCUGGAAGCCUGACACCAGCUAGGAAAUAGCUGACACACAGAUGAACGACAAGAUCUAUAGGUCUCAACUGGUUCUGGUCUUGAGAGAUGAUGAACAUGAAUGAAUGACCUGCCUGAUAUUACUUGGUCUGAACGAGUUCAGAACUGCCUGCUGAGCUAUUAGUUAUUUGUGGACGUCGUGCACAAAACCAGGAUCAAAAUGCAUCAGCCCUGUCCAUCAUAGAGUUCUACUGAGAGCAUUUUAAAUGGACCUGCCUGUCAGAAGUGAGAGAGUGACCAUCUCUACUACCACUACAGUUACUUAAGCAGAGGGUCUUGUCAGUGAAUACAGAGAGCAGAGCUCCCCUUGCAGGACUCAGACUAAACCAAGGGAAGACACAGCCCUCUGUUUAAAAUCUUCUGCUGAGAUUCUGCGUUGCAGGAGCCCAGACUACAAUUAUCUAACUCCUCAUUUUUUUUAUGUGUUAAAUGGCAUUACAGACAAACAUGAUUUGAUGUUUUUUUCAUAAACUAGACUUAAAUGUAAUCAUAAGUUUUUCUUCAAGGCAUAAAAUGAUUAUUGAAAGAAUGAAGGAAAACAUGCUAUGCCUCAAUCCAUGAGUUGCAUAAUUCUGUUAACUAAAUAUAAUUAAUGAAGUCUUUGAAGCAGCAUUGCUAGUUGCUUCAAGAGACAGAGAAUAAAACAAGAAUCUACUACCAUGUGACUAACUUUUUGGGUUUUGACUGUUGGCUUUGGCAGUUUUCUUUGGUGGUUAUUUACAUGAGGAGGUCAAAAAUGUCAA